UACGUAGGGUGCGAGCGUUAAUCGGAAUUACUGGGCGUAAAGUGUGCGCAGGCGGCAGAGCAAGUCGAGUGUGAAAGCCCCGGGCUUAACUUGGGAAUUGCGCUCGAAACUACUUUGCUGGAGUGUGGCAGAGGAAGGUGGAAUUCCACGUGUAGCGGUGAAAUGCGUAGAGAUGUGGAGGAACACCAAUGGCGAAGGCAGCCUUCUGGGCCAACAC
rnacentral:rRNA from 1 species